UACGUAGGGGGCAAGCGUUAUCCGGAUUUACUGGGUGUAAAGGGAGCGUAGACGGUGAUGCAAGUCAGAAGUGAAAGCCCGGGGCCCAACCCCCGGACUGCUUUGGAAACUGUGCUGCUGGAGUGCAGGAGAGGUAAGCGGAAUUCCUAGUGUAGCGGUGAAAUGCGUAGAUAUUAGGAGGAACACCAGUGGCGGAGGCGGCUUACUGGACGGUAACUGACGCUGAGGCUCGAAAGCGUGGGGAGCAAACAGG
rnacentral:rRNA from 1 species